rnacentral:rRNA from 1 species
GAUGAACGCUGGCGGUGCGCCUAAUGCAUGCAAGUCGAGCGACGCACACCGGAGGGGUAACCCACUGGUAUGACGGAGCGGCGAACGGGUGAGUAACACGUGAGCAACCUGCCCCACAGACCGGGAUAGCCCAGGGAAACUUGGAUUAAUACCGGAUGCCCUCGGAGGAUCGCAUGGUCCGCCGAGGAAAUGCCUUUGUGCUGUGGGAUGGGCUCGCGACUUAUCAGCUAGUUGGUGGGGUAACGGCCUACCAAGGCUUCGACGAGUAGCUGGUCUGAGAGGACGAUCAGCCACACUGGAACUGAGACACGGUCCAGACUCCUACGGGAGGCAGCAGCAGGGAAUCUUGUCCAAUGGGCGAAAGCCUGAGACAGCGACACCGCGUGGGGAUGAAGGCCUUCG